rnacentral:rRNA from 1 species
GACGAACGCUGGCGGCGUGCCUAACACAUGCAAGUAGAACGCACAGUUUAUACCGUAGCUUGCUUCACCAUAGACUGUGAGUUGCGAACGGGUGAUUAACGCGUAGGUAACUUGCCUGGUAGCGGGGGAUAACUAUAGGAAACGAUAGCUAAUACCGCAUCAUAUUAAUUAUUGCAUGAUUAUUAAUUGAAAGGUGCAAUUGCACCACUACUAGAUGGUCCUGAGUUGUAUUAGCUAGUAGGUGAGGUAACGGCCCACCUAGGCGGCGAUACAUAGCCGGCCUGGAAGGGUGGUCGACCACAACGGGAAUUGGGAACGGGCCAGACUCCCACGGGGAGGAAGAGUAGGGGAACAUCGGCAAAGGGGGGAAAUCUGGCCGAAGAAAGCCGGGGGGGUGAAGGAGGUUUUCGGAUCGUAAAACUCUGUUGUAAGGGAAGGACGAGUGGGAGGGUGAAAAGUUCACGCUGUGACGGUAUCUAACCAAAAAGCAACGGCUAACUACGUG